rnacentral:rRNA from 1 species
AGAGUUUGAUCCUGGCUCAGAACGAACGCUGGCGGCAUGCCUAACACAUGCAAGUCGAACGAGGUUUCCGCUUCGGUGGAUGCCUAGUGGCGCACGGGUGAGUAACGCGUGGGAACGUGCCCAGUAGUGGGGGAUAGCUCGGCGAAAGCCGGAUUAAUACCGCAUACGACCUACGGGUGAAAGCGGGGGAUCGCAAGACCUCGCGCUAUUGGAGCGGCCGAUGGCAGAUUAGCUUGUUGGUGAGGUAAAAGCUCACCAAGGCGACGAUCUGUAGCUGGUCUGAGAGGACGACCAGCCACACUGGGACUGAGACACGGCCCAGACUCCUACGGGAGGCAGCAGUGGGGAAUUUUGGACAAUGGGCGCAAGCCUGAUCCAGCAAUGCCGCGUGUGUGAUGAAGGCCUUCGGGUUGUAAAGCACUUUUAGUGGGAACGAAACGGUCCGGGCUAAUACCCUGGACUACUGACGGUACCCGCAGAAUAAGCACCGGCUAACUACGUGCCAGCAGCCGCGGUAAUACGUAGGGUGCAAGCGUUAAUCGGAAUUACUGGGCGUAAAGCGUGCGCAGGCGGUUUUGUAAGACCGAUGUGAAAUCCCCGGGCUUAACCUGGGAACUGCAUUGGUGACUGCAAGGCUUGAGUGUGUCAGAGGGAGGUGGAAUUCCGCGUAGCAGUGAAAUGCGUAGAUAUGCGGAGGAACACCGAUGGCGAAGGCAGCCUCCUGGGAUAACACUGACGCUCAUGCACGAAAGCGUGGGGAGCAAACAGGAUUAGAUACCCUAGUAGUCC